UUCUCCUUGAUGUUCUUGAUUUACCAUUAGUCAAGUUUACAGAAAAAUCUACAGACAUAUACAACUCCACAUUAGUUUUAUUAAAUCCGUCGUGAUAUAUAUCUUUAUUGUAUAUUUCGACUUACCCAUGCAAAAUCUAUAAAGGCAUGUUUAGAAGUUUUUUUUUUAAAGGAAUAUCAUAUGUUGGAGGUGUGAUGCAAAUGUGCAAAACAGAUUGGUAUCAAUUUUAUAUGAUCACUCACAGCACUACUGUAGUCAAAUUUCACCUUGUAUGGCAUGUAUCUUUCAUAGCACCAUACUACUGUAGUACUCCCUUUGACUCAUAAUUCUUGUCGUGUAUUAUCAUGUUUUUCAUGUAGUAACGAGGUACCAUACUACUAUAAUACUCCCUCCGUCUCAUAAUUCUUGUCGUGUAUUAUCAUGUACCAUACUACUUGAACUAAAAUAGCGACAAGAAUUAUUGGACCGAGGGAGGGAGCACAAUAUAGCGUGUAUUAUCAUGUUUUUCCCGAGUUAUGGCCUGGGCAAAUGUGCCAUGGAUUGAUGGAUUUAGGUUGGAUUUUUGCUCUUUGAGAACUAGUCACUAACAUACUACUGGCAGAAUUGUCAAUAAUUUUUUCCCACACCGUCUAGAUUCUAUAACUAUAUCGGCUACGAUGAAGGCUGCAUUUUGUGAUUUUUGCUUGAGAAUCAGAUUUCUGUAACUUAUUAUGCCUUGGUAAUACUGAACCUAAAAUUGUUUCUCGUGCAGGGAGAAAAAGAGUACACACCAGCUCCUAUGCUAUAACGAAUGGUUCUAAAAAGAUUGACAGCUUUAGAUGUGUCGCACUUCAUAUUUUCAUUCGGCUUUAGCUUUUUUUUAUUAGUGCUUGCAACGCUUCAAACAUUCAGUUAUGAUUUACACAACUAACGUCAAAAUGUUCUUUCUUUGGCAAGUGCACUUUGAAAAGGCUUAAUGCAAAGUAAUGUCACUUGCUUAUAUCCAAUCAAGAAUUAUGAGAAUCUCACUAUAUAACAAUAUUUGUCUUCAUUCAAAUUUAACCUUUGUUUAUAUUGUCUUGUGCCAAUUUUUAUCAUUCUAUUGUUAAAAUAGACGGGUGCGACAACGCACGCCAUCAUGAUCUAGUAAUCAGCGCAAAAGAGCAGGCUUACUCUCCGAUCCAUGGCAAGCAUUAAGUACUUUUAACAGAAAAAGGUAACGGAGAGUCAACGUCAGUGGUAUAAAAUCAGAGCAAUAAUGGUUGUUCAUGUAGUAAUGGCGGGACAUAGCCAUUGUAGAAGCAAAUACGGAGUACUCCAUACAUGAGGGUUUUUACGGUACCCCUAUGCUGCCAGGGAGGAGGCAGUACAGAGUCUAUCUAGCCGUCGAUUUUUUUUUUAGCAUUUUAGAUUUUCACCCGUUUCGUUUCCUUGUUUUCUAAUUAAGUCCAUAAUACUUCUAAAUAGCUGUAUAGCACCAAACGUAGGAGGCAGGACGUCGUUCCUCGCCGGCCGGGAGAUGAGGCGGCUUGGUGGCGGCUAGGGCACGGCGCGGGACGAGAGAGAUUUGUUUUUCAGGUUUUGGCCUCCGAUCCCACCCAACUGUUCAAUUGAACUAUCUCCUGCAAUCCCGUUGUAGCGUUGCUGGUGCACUCGUCCGCACCGGACGCCAUCGAUCAGUGUAUUGGUCAACUCUACGAAGAGGAAUGACACAAAACCAUCCAGUGCUCAAAUCUUCCAAUGAUCAUGGAGUCGAAGCAUGAAGGAUUGGGCACGACUGCAAGAAACAUGCCGAUCGACUGAAUAUGAGAGGAGUUCGAGCUUGUCCAACGCCGUGCUAUGCUGCUUCAUGCGAGUAUUGGGAUUCAUGGCCCUCGUCUUGUCGCAGUUACAGAGCCGCCGGCGAACCGCCAUCUGCUUCCGUGCCCAUCUUGACGGAGUGGCCGAACGGCCCGAGAUGAACCUACACGGCUGCGCGGUGCUUGCCGGCCACGGAGCGGACGAGAGGUGGUAAAGACAUCUGCGAUACAAAUUUACUAUCUAGACCGUGGUCAAAGUGGGAAUUAUUUUUCUGCCUCGCCGAUUUUUGCCUGCCUCGCCGAUUUUCGUGGAGCAAUAUCCGUGAAUACUGGUCAUACUCCUAGAGCAGUAUACGGGGAUCUAGACCAUUAGAUUGUUGGCAAUGAACGGUUAAUAUUCAUCCCAGUGUACCAUAGAAGAACUCUUUUUCUCAUUAGUUAACAGAAAGACAUAGUCGGCGGAUUGUACAUUACUAUGUGUAUGUAGCCGGCCGGCCGGCCCGUGCUAGCAUGCUCCUGGAGACCUGGACAUAUAUACAUCGGUACAUACACAAACAUUGAGUCACAGACAAAACGGAGAAAUAAACCUUGGCAAACAAGGUUGCCACCAGUGACCAAACGCAACACACUUCAUAUAUGAGCUGUUGUUUCAACUUGCGGUUUAGGCCUUGCCGGACUCCUCGCAGCCAGGUGGCUUGAAAGCGAUGAAGCUGAUGCACUGUACUUGCCUGGUGUUGUCGAAGCCGAUGAUGCGGACAUAGGCGCCAGGGUAUUCCUUCUUGACCUCCUCCAACUCCUUGAGCACCUGCGUGGCGUCAGUGCACCCGAACAUGGGAAGCUUCCACAUUGUCCAGUACCUCCCGUCCUAGUACCCUGGGGAGUUGCCGUGCUCACGGAAGACGAAACCGACCUUGCUGAACUCGAGGCAAGGAACCCAUUUGGAGCGGAUGAGAUACUCGAUCUGCUUCAGGAGGGACUCCACGGUGAGAGGUGGCAGGUAGGAAAGGGUCUCGAACUUCUUGAUGCCCUCAAUUGGCCACACCUGCAAUUAGAUUAAAAUUAGCACACAAAGUGUGAUUUGAGACACAUAUCGAUGGAGUAUUUCACUUCACACAUAUCGGUAUGAUGAUAUACAUACCUGCAUGCUCGUGAUCCUGCCACCGUUGGAGACGCUGCCGAGGCCAGCGCCGGCAGAGCGGCGGCUGACGGGGAGCCCGGCGGUGGACUUGAGGCCCCGGAAAGGAGCAACAGCGGUAGCCGCCGCCGACAUCACUGUCGGACCCAUAGCAUCCACCCUUGUAUCACUAGAGUAUAUCUACUUAGCUAAUAUGCUAAGUUUGGCACGGAGAGAGGAGGUCGAGUGGACUUCAUUCCUGGUCACAAGGGUUUAUAUAUACCAUAUAACAUACGAGCAAUUUGUGAUUAAUUUGUUGUCGUUCUAGGAGAUGUGGAAAGGGUGGAUGCCGUUCGUUGGUUGCCUUAUCCGUUCUAGAGAAGGGAUGGAUGACCGACGCUCGCUCAGCCGUCUCCUUCGUCCAUCGUUGCCAAUCUUUCUAGCUAUAAUUGGAAGUUCCAAAGGAACAUACGGUUUCAUGCCUACUUCCAUCGGCCUAUCAUGUACCAAUCCAAUAAAAGGACAUCGUUCAACCAUCAAUCCAUGUGUGUGUAGUAAGUGAUUGGCUACGAACCUUCAGCUGACUUGCUUUAUUGGAUAUUUCUGUAAAGCGAGUCCACGGUGUGUGGGUUUAAAAUCUCGUGGCGGCAACUGUUGACGGGUGCAAAUAUCAGUAGCCUUAAAACAAUAAACUUUACUCCGUCCCUUCCGAAAUGCAAGAAUGUCCUAAGUCAAACUUCUUAUGCUGCAGGACCAUAGUUUUUGAGGUGUUCUUCUCACGAGUCCACGAAGAACGGGAAUUUUUUGGUGUCGGGUAAGGGCGGGGGAAUAUAUAGAUGCUAGCAUCAGCAUGACGGGCUAACGGGUCAGGUAGGAUUUUGGACGACGUAGCACCUGACAUGUGGGGGCCACAUGUAAGAAAACCUGUCAAAAUGUCAUAACCCUCUGUUUUGGUCAACUUGAUACAAUCUGAUACAAAACGUGUGGUUUUCCUGACAAAUUAGCAAAUUUUGUGUCUCUGUGAGAAGCACGCCCCAAAAACUGUGGUUCCGUGAAAUUUAUUCACUAGUUACACUUUAUCUACAAACAUCUACGAUUCUAAAAUAGUUUGGUAUAUAUUUUCCGUAAUAUAAUUAUUUGAUAUUCUAAAUUCGGGGAUUUGUUCUUAUAAACUUGGUCGAAGUUUAAAAAGUUUGACUUCGGACAAAGUUACGACUUUUUACAUUUAGGAAUGAAGGGAAUACAUUUUAGUAAAGCAAUUGAGGAAUUGACAGAAUUAAAUAUCUUAAAUUAUACUGGUCCAUCGUGUACUCAUGGCAACAAAAUAAAUUUAUAGUCGAAAAGUUGGACCAUGAAAACUUAAAACGUGAUACAUUAAAAUUGUUGAAUCACUCUACAUCUUGUAAUUUUCUCUUGCAACCUUCUGGCGCGCUACUCAUUCCACAUUUGGUACUAUAUGUAUAAAUGUAUAUAUAUACCGCAUUAGGAGCCUCUAUUACUGUUUUAGUAUAAAUAGCAGUUUCCAUCGACUAUGCACUUCAUUAACUUUUUCUUCACGAGAUAACUUGCUUAUCGAUUUUCUUUAAUUAUCCAGAUGGCUUCUACUAGUUUGUUUCCUUGCUUACUGGGAUUUCCGCAGACUUUACGGUUAGGUAUUAUUGUCGUGUGGACAACACGGUGGCCGGAUGUUGAGAUGAUGAUGUCCUUUAUCUCCGUGUUGCUUCUGAGGACUGCGGAUCCGAGGCUAGUGGCGGUAUGGGAUGCCUCUCUACCUCUUGAUCAGGUCAAUCCGGCUCAGCAAGAGGCGGAUCGAUGGUGGCCGGUGUGACUAGAAGCGGGGAGGUAUAUAUGAAACGUUUCUUGCUUCCAGCAUCUCUUCUAGCGGUAUAUAUGUCGUCAGCUGGUUGAGGGAUUGAUGGCAAUCGAUCAUGGCUACGAUGACAUGUAUACGCGCCGGUAGGAACACAUAUCAGGCAAUGUCGAUGCACCUGCAUUGGGCCCUUGCUGAAGGUGGUGGUGCGUAUGGCAGUCUAAAGAUUUAAGACACAAAUUUAGACUUAAAACUUAAAUAAUCAAUUUGUGCCAGCGGGAAACACACAAACACGUACCGGUAAAUUAUCAUAAUCAGAAUUUGUCGACGAAUUUGAUAUUCUUUUACAAAAUAUACUUAUCUUAAUAUGUAUAACCGGAGUUUAUAUUACAUGCCCCUCUCCCAACGAUAGUUGUAGUACUCUUAUAAUAGUAGUACUCAUGAAUACAGUUAAUCCGGGUUGUUGGGAGAGAUCACAUGCAUAAAUACAACAUGAAACAAACGUGUGAAAAAGGUACAUAAAAUCGGUGUGACCCGUUCUUGUAUUAUAAGAAAUCAACUUGCUUAGGCCUUGCCGGACUCCUCACAACCCGGUGGCUUGAAGGCGAUGAAGCUGAUGCACUGCACUUGCCUGGUGUUGUCGAAGCCGAUGAUGCGGACAUAGGCGUCAGGGUACUCCUUCUUCACCUCCUCCAGCUCCUUUAGCACCUGCGUGGCGUCGGUGCACCCGAACAUGGGAAGCUUCCACAUUGUCCAGUACCUGCCGUCGUAGUACCCGGGAGAGUUGCCGUGCUCACGGAAGACGAAACCGACCUUGCUGAACUCGAGGCAAGGAACCCACUUGGAGCGGAUGAGAUACUCGAUCUGCUUCAAGAGGGACUCCACGGUGAGAGGCGGCAGGUAGGAAAGGGUUUCGAACUUCUUGAUGCCCUCAAUUGGCCACACCUACAAUUAGAUUAAUAAUUAGCACCGAAAGUAUAAUUUGAGACACAUAUCAGUAUUUCACUUCAACAUAUGUACAUGAUGACAUACAUACCUGCAUGCACCUGAUCCUUCCACCGUUGGAGACGCUGCCGAGACCAGCGCUGGCUGAGCGGCGGCCGAUGGGGAGCCCGGCGGUGGACUUGAGGCCCUGGAAAGGAGCAACGGCAGUAGCCGCUGACGACAUCACUGUGGGAGCCAUCGUACACGUACGUAGAUAGCUAACAAGAGGAGGCAGGCUUGCUUGAGUGCUCUCUAGCUACAGCGGCUUAUAUAACUGUAGGCUCCCCACCCAUCCAAUAUCAGCACAAGAUCUAGGAGGGGUGGCUGCAGUUCGCCGCGCGGAUUUGCCCAGGCCACGCUGGCAUCCUACGGAUCAGGUCGGGCGCCACAUGGCCGCACGAAAUGGCGCGCGUUAUCCUCUGGACGGAUACAAUUGGCUGCAACGCACUCUGCAAAUCAUGCCAUGAAGUGACCAAUUUUCACCUAUCAGGAUAGAUCCAAUGUGCCACGGCAUGCACUCAAAAACAGAACUUGCUAAUCCCUCCAAUCCAUAAAAAAUCUCGCCCACUUAUUAGAAAAUUUGUAAUGAGUUAAUGCAAAAUGAGCAGCACUUUUUAUGAACUAGAGGAACAACAAAUUAAGAGAAACUCUUCUAAGAUCUUAUCGAGAACGAAGCUUGCCCCCGCGUCGCUCAGUCUGGGGCGACACGGGCGGCAACCACACCAGCCCCGGCAGCAGCCUCUCCCCGUCCUCUCCUCCCCCUCGCCGCCGCCGGGCAAAGCCCGCACGGGGACGGCGGCGGCGGGGCUGUUUUUCUUGGCGGGGGUGUCCUAGAGCUCUUGGCUGAGGCGUUUGAGGUGCUGCCUCAUCGUGGUCGCGGCGUCUCCGGCCCGAUCCGGCAGGCUAUGCCUCGUCUUCGGCUAGAUCCGGCCGGCUUCCUCCCGGAUCCGGUGUUUCCCCUCGUUCUUCCUCUCCCUGGUGCUCGGUCUGCUCGUGGCUGCGCGGCUUCACGGCGGCGCUCUUCGGCCGGAUCUAGCUACUCGUUGGCCAGAUCCGUCAUCUCCUCCGGCUGAUCCGGCAUGUCCCAGGUCUCUUCGUUUCCAUCAUUUUUCCUCUCAGUUUGGUGAGGCGGCUGAUUGAACUUCACCGGCGGCAGAUGGGCUGCUGCUGCGGCCAUACAUGGUCCAAGUCGGUCCUUUUCGAUGCCAUGGUGGCGUGGUUUUCAUUUUCGGUCGCGUCUUCGGCUGCUGCCCGUGUGCGAGGUAUGGACGUCGGCUCCGGUGUUUGGAGUGUUGCUCUGGAUGAAAACUGCCCGUGUGCGAGGUAUGCCGAAGACAACGAUGUUGUAGCGCCGUUUUCCUUCUUGGAGGUGUCGUCGAAGAGCUUCACUUUCCCUCACUUUGAUGUUUGGUGUCUUCGGGUGAAAACCUAAGAUUUGGCUAUGGCCAGAUCGGGCGACAACGGCGUUUUUACGUCGAUUUCCUCCUUGGGGGCGUUGUCAUGGAGACAACGACUCUUGGUGGCAUCGGGUGGUGUGGUCCGUCUAUGGUGGAGCUUGUUGUCUCGAGUUGUUGAAGGUUUGGUGGUGUCUCUUCUUGUGUCAUGUGUUAGCUUAGGCUGUCGGUUUGUGUCCGGCGAGAACGUGCGUUUCUUAUCCUUUGGUGCGGUUUCGGCAUGUGAUGCCUUUCGUCUUCACUAUCGUCACGUAGGUGUCGUGUUGUAUUCUCGGUGGUGUGUGGUCUUUCGGCUUAGCCAACGGCAAGUGGAGGUAUGAUCUCGGUUGUGUAUUGCCCUUCGACUUCAUCGGCGGCACAUCGGCGUCGCGGUGGGUCUCAGUGACGCGCAGCCCUUCGACUCUGCCGGCUACGUAGGUGUCAUGGUGCGGCCUUGACCCUGUGCUUCCCUUCAGCUACGGCGACGACAUAGUGUCUGGGUGGGCUCGUCAGAUCGACGCCUUUCGACUACAUCAACUAUGCUCUUCAUUGUGCAUUUAUUUUGCCAUUGACAUGUUUCAAGAGUCUAGGUUUUUUCCUUGUGUUUCUUUUAGCAAAUGCUGUUCUGCAGGCUGGCUUUUGCCCACCCGAUCAGAAAAGAAAAACAAAUUAAAGGCUAAAAUCAAGCGAUGUUAUAUUCCCUUAGCUAUUACAAAUAUGGAUGAUAAGAGUUAUUUAUCCUUUUUCAACGAGUAACCCUUUACUUGGAAGUUCCAUGUGCAUGGCGCUGCAAGAAAACAAACAUCAUAAUGGGGCAAGACUUUUUUUUUUAUAAACAUCCAAUUUGGGUUAAAGUCUGAAAGAAUUUGGCUAUCUGAACUUUCAGUUUCCACAUUCUUUUACCUACUCAAUUCUUCAGCCAACAGGAUCAAUGGCGACCUACUAACACCAACCAGAACACAUGGGUCACAAACACGAAAAAGGGCUAGAAGGCUACUUAUACACACUCAUGUGUACUGCGAGCAAAAGAACAUAAUGUACAAAACUUUACAAAAUCUAGGGAAUUAAGACCUUCCCGUAUGCUGUUGCUGCCGCUGCUGCUUCAUGCUGGCUCUCCUGGCAACAUCCCAUGGUUUGUGAGGCACACCUACACCUUGCUGGGAUGCGAAGAACGACUCGUAUCCCGGGGAGUCGAAAGCAAAACCAGUGUGCUUGGAGUUCUCUCGAGGGAGCAUGGAGAUCGCAUAGCUUCUUGCUUCUUCUGGGCUCAAAUGGCUCCUCUCAGGCAGAUGUAUCAUGCUGUAUUCGUGGGGGUCAUCCUUGUGCAUCUCCUGGAUUACUUGGUAGUCAUAGGGAAAGAGCCAUCUUUGGAGCCUGAGAAAGCACACAGCAUCAAAGACAACAAUUGAUUCAGCUACUUCAGUAUGUACAAUGGAAGGAAUAACAAACGGAUGGCAUUAACAAACAUAUAAUUUUGCAAAAGAGCUGGUAUCUUACGAUAGAUACAGGAAAUCACCAAAGAGAGCGAUGACUGGAGCAAGCAUUAGUGUGAGGUAGAAGAAAAAGGUACUCAUCAGAACAUAAAUCACAAAAUAUACAUUUUCCUGCACAAGGUACACAGCAUUAAGUCAAUGCAUUUGUAGCAAGUAAUCGUCAUCAGCAGUGUAAUAGCUACAUUAUUCACCCACCUGUCGGUCAAAUGAUGUCAUUAUCGCAGAAUAUAUGAAGAUAAACAGAAACCAGGCCGCUAUACUGCCAGCUACGCUGAAAUAAUGCCAUCUCGUGAUAGAAUUGCACGACAUGAGGAGACGUAGAUUAACAGUCACCACAACACAAGUAAAGGCCAUCGUGCUAACAUCCCAUUGACCAAGAAUCUUGCCAGAUGAACCGUGACCAUGCUGACUUGCAGCUGCAGUAAAGUAAUAGAACACUAUUGACUGGUAGAAGGCAAAGAAACCCCACACCGCAAUCACUUUCCACCGGAAGAAUGUGUUCCUAAUUCCUUCUUGGUAAAGUUGUGGGUAUUUUUUUGAUAGAGAUGCACUCACAUCCUGAAAGGGUUCAGUUUAGUGAAUGUAGCAAGGAGCGUCACUCCAGAACAAGAAAAGUAGAACAAAUACAAGCAACCAUACCUUAUCAAACAACCCAACCAUAAUUACAGGUAGUGCCGUGAAAAUGACAUUAUACAGAGACUGGAACCAGUCAUCAUAAAAUCGCUGACCAGAAAAGCCAGUUUGGAAAGUGAACCAGAACUGAGUUAGUGUAAAAGUCAGAUUCUUGUAGAAGAAGUAUGUGAUAACCUGAAACAGAAAGUGUCAAUGUUAAAAAAAUUAAACUACACAGAUUGGCAGCUACAAGCUAAGGGACCAAAGCAUACCUUGCACAAUCUCAAGUAUGACCACCGCCCAUGUACAAGAAGUAAAUCCGUAAGAUAUCGAAACUGAGCAAUGGCAAAAUCACUCGCCAUAACAGCUUGCAUUCCUUCUUGUCCGCUGAUGCCAAUACCAACAUGAGCAGCUUGAAUCAUACUCACAUCAUUAGCACCAUCACCAAUACUGAGAGUUAUCUUACGUGCACCUUUCCUAACUAAACUUGCAACCUACAAAUGUGUCAACAUUACAUGUUUUGGCAUCAUUCGAACCCAACAGGUUAUUAGGAAAUAAAUCCAAAAAUAAGAGACUUUGAGAUUGCUGAUGGGAUGGGUAACAACCAAAUAAGCACAUAUACAAUAAGUUAAUUAAUACUACCUUUGUUUCAAAAUAUUAUACCAAAACGUCUUAUAUUUUGAAACAGAGAUAGUACUUAUAGUACAAGAGUGUACAGGACAUUUAGUUAAGAGGCCAAAACUAGAAUAGCAAAAGCAACCAAUGCACAGUGGUUAAUAAUGAUCUUGUGAAUCAUGCACAAACUAUUUUGUUGUCAAGGUACAAAAUUGGAUCCUUUAAAAUGUAAUAAUAUCAAUAUCCCCCGUUUAUUGCCCAAGCAUCCUGAAAGGCAUGCAGCUGAGAGCUGCAGACCAUACUGCUAAUUAUUUCAUGGGAAAAGGCAAGGCAUGCAUGAUAAGAACGCUAAAAGCGAGAAUUGAUAUUUACCUGUGCCUUUUGCAGUGGAGAAACUCGACAACAUACAACUGAUUGGCAAAUUAAACUCAAACCAAGAAGAUUCACACGCAGAGCUGGGUCUAGAGCGUACAUCAAGCAUCGUCCAUCAAUAAUGAAAGCCAACUUUCGUCCUGGCGUGCUCCUCAAAGAACGGUGGGCUUCCUCAAGGUAACUUCUCAGACUCUGUUUUACCGAGUCUUUGAUAACACGUGCAAUUUCCACAGGGUCUCCCUGAAAAUGACUGGAACAUUAUUCAUGGCAAAGAUAUGUGCAUAAGUUGAUUUACAUCAAUCAGAUACAAAUGCUAAAUUGCUAAUUAUGGUUGAUCAAACUGCAAAACACACGAGAUAUCCAAAAGGCUAUAUAAACAUGAUGGAGAGGCUAAAGCACUGAAACAACAGAAUCAACAUAAAGUAUUUUGUACUAUUAUGCAACUAAGCCUUUUGUCCCAAGCAAGUUGGGGCAGGCUAGAUAUGAAACCCAAACAGAAACUAAAGCAAAGUGCAGGUAACAAAAGAGCAAGAGAGUAAAUCAAGGUUCAGGCACAUGGACUGCUGAUUUCCAUGCAGCCCUAUCAAAAGCAAAAUCUCUAGAUACAUUCCAGUCCUUCAAGUCCCUUUAACUGCCUCCUACCAAAAGCAAAUAUCAUAGUAAUCCACCAACCAAAGUAACAAGGGAACUACUUGUAACUUCUUAGUUCACAAGUACAUACCAGUUGAGCUAUCCAAUUAUUCUAAAUAAUAUGGUUUGAUACCUUUACCAAAGUCUCAACUUGUAUUCAUUUUAAAGCUUAUACAAGAUAUUAUAUGUUAUGGCUUAACAGUCUCCAUGACACAAUAUGGCUUGACUUCACAGUUUAAUUCUAUAGGAUUAUCUUACCCUGUCUUCAGCAUCUCUAAUUGCAUCUGUCUCAGAAGUGAUGAUGAAUUGUUUUGUAUCGUUAUUCACCAGGCUGCACGCUGCAGAGCAAAAACUAAAUAACUUCAGAAGCUUUUCUAUGUCAGGUGAAAGAGAGAGAAAAAGACCGCCCGCCCCCCACCAAUAAUCCAAAACUGAGCUUCUAUUAGACCCCUUAAGAACGAAACAAGCAUGCAAAUUGAUCUAUAUAUAAUUAAAACCUCACCAUAUGCUAUAUUAAUUGCUGUUUCCAUUUUAUCUCCAGUUAGCACCCAAAUUUUUAUGCCAGCUGCAGAAAGAGUUUCAAUGCAGGCUGGAACCCCUUCUUGCAGUUUGUCUUCUAUUGCAGUGCACCCUAUCAAUAUAAGGUCCUUUUCAAUCAACUCAGCCACCUACAGGGGAAGAAACAGAAGGAAAUUAUAUGGCAAUGUCCCAGCAAUAUCUUAAAUCAGAAUAUACAUUAAGUCUAUUACUUCAAAUUCCUUUUUCCUAGAAAUCACAGUGAACUUAGUACAUGAAAGAAUGAAAGGAUAAUGCUUUUCUAAUGGGGAUUUGAAAAAACAUCAUAAAAAUAAUAAUAUAAAGUACUGUAUGUUCUUGUUCUAGAUAAAUUACAAAUAUCUUUUGCUCAUGAUCCUCUUUCCUGACUAAAAAAUAUAUAUUAUUAUGUAAAAUACUAAUGUUCUAUGGCAGUACAAGAUAAUAAAUUAGCACAAAAAACUAUUAAACUGCAAAUGUCAGCUGUUAGGGAUGGAUGACAUGACUCCUGUAGUUUUGGGGGGAGAGAGAGAGGAGACACACUGAACAAAUUACUUCCUUCGUCUCCAAAGAUUGCCAUGCCACAUUCUAUUCGGUCAGUCAACCUUUUACAACUUCAAAAUUAACAAUUAUAAGUGAAUUGAAUUACUACAUGAAAAAUAACAGCACUCAAUUUGCUUGCAUAAUAAUUUGUACGCAAAACUUUUGCUUGUAUAUUAGCAUAGAAAUCAUAGCCAGAGUUUUAUGUUGGGAGAAUAUAAAAUUAAAAAAUGGCCUACAUUUGUCAGGUACAUUCAGUUAAUUGUUUCCAAAACCAAAUUAAUUUUCAUACAUAAAUACCAAACGGAUCAAUAGCAUGCUCAACAGUGCACAUGAGACUCGAGUUCAGUACUGGAUGACAGAAAGUAAAAAAAAUCAGGCAAGCACUAGAAGGUGGAGGGGAAGUAAUCGAAAUUCAAAUCACAGGGACUGUUCAGCCUGUAUACUCAACAGAAGAGGAUGGUACACAUACCUCAUCAAGCUUCUUAUCACGAUCUCGUAAAGAAGAUUUAGCUUGAACAAACUUCUCAUUCCAGCUUUCGUACUGCUCCCUGCUUAGAUCUCGAUAAGCAAGGCAAAGCGUGCGCAAGCCAGCAGAGCCAAAUUGUUCUAGAUGUUCUCUGCUUGUCUUUUUAAUGUCAUGAUUUCCAUCAGCUAACCGUUCAAAAAUGACAUUAUCAGCGCCCUGUUACACAACAUUUGUAUAAGGUUAGUGCAUCAAUCUACAAAGUGAUAGCUACAUAAAGAUUCUUUUUUCUUGUAUUACCUUGCAAUACAGAACAAGUUUUCCAUUUGGGAAACGGCAAACCACAGAUUGGCGCUUUCUUGUACUGUGAGUGCAGUAAAGUGUGAAGUGCAGAACAAUGAUUUCAUCUUGUCAAAUUUAAAUUGAAAACAGAUAAACCAGACCUGUUGAAUUCCAAAACAUUCAGAAUUUCAUAUGCAACAUCUUGUAUACUCCCCAUCCUCUCAACAUGUGAUUCCCGAACCAAGACUGUGGUUGGCGUACGUCUACAAGACAGGCACAAAAUGUCAACCACCGGCAUUGCCAUUCACAAUAAAAAUGCCACAUGAAAUAAUUUGCAACAAAAAUCAUAAGAACUUAGAUGAGUUCAUGUUCACAGCACUUGCUUUAACACUUGUCUUAAUUUACAACGGCAAUUUUUUGUUGAUGGGCUAAUAGUUUAUUUAUGCUUCUUAGUAUGUACAUUCAGUCCUUCAUACAACAAACUAUAUAAGCAAUAACCUGGGUGAGUGACUCUUUUAUGCACAUUUUCCUUGGGACCAUAGCAUAGUUUUUUAAGAUACCUUGUUUGCAACAAACUGAUAAGAGGAAUCUAUAACUGUAUUUAAAGGCAAGGUAAGACAUGCCUAUAAAAGAAGAAACCAAAAUUCUUCGCAGCAGCGACAAGCGCGGCCUCGUCGGGAGAGGCAGCUUGAUAAGUAAUCUUUUCCGGUGUCUCCUCACCCUCAGGAAGAACUGUAUGACAGAUUGCAAGGCAUCUGCAGAAUUGCUAUAGAGCAAAUAACAAAGUUGUUACACAACUAGCACAUUAACAAGGGAAAAUGUGAAAAAGGAAAAUAGGUUCCAAAUUUUAUUAGUAAGGGCAUAUAUCGUGAUAUGUGAAUAAUUUGUGUCAACUAAAUCAAAACUGAUUAUGACCAAAGGGGAACCAAUCGAACUAUUCCACAGGUAGUCCCGUAUUUACCACGCAAGCAUCAGGAUUAGGUUCAUUUCUCCAUGCACCACGCAUUAUUCUAGCAUCAUCAAAGUUGAAUCCUUUCUCAUGAACUGCAGUGGCUGAUCUUUUACCCUAAAAAAGGCAAGUAAACUGGAUAUUAAAUCAGUUGUGCAUUAAAUUUUUCAUCAUAUACCACCACACUUCAAUAGCGUAAACAACAAAGAAAAUGUUGUAGACCUCAUCAUCAUCAAUCUUGACUCCGGCUCGCUCGGCUCCUCCUUUUUCAAUCUCUGUGAUGCCAGUUCCAUAUAUUUCCCCUCCAAUCGAACAUUUAAAGAAUUCCAUCAAGUUUCUUGUAAGUGUUCCAGUUUUGUCAGAAAAUAUAUACUCAACCUGAACCAUUAGUGGGGCAAAAAAAAUUUGGCAGAAAUGUCAAAUUAUUUGCAAGUGUUAAGUGCAUUUUAGUACCACUCGGCAUUUGUUCAGUCAUAUAAGCAUUUCUGGGGAUCUAGAACAGUUUUUCGGUGGGAGUAAGUCACUUAAUAUUAGUGAAAUGAGACUGUUCCCCAAGUGCUUAUAAUUGAUCCCACUUUCUGGAAUGAGUCGGUGCAGUGAGGUCAUUCUAUCCAUUAACCAAACCCAGCCAUAUAGGUCAAAUAAGUAAAUAACCCCAUUUCAGCAACAAACAAAGGGGCUUUCAUCAAACUAAACAGAAUGCUAAGGAACAAAAAAAAAACUGAUAUUACCUGCCCAAGCUCCUCAUUCAGAUUAGAAGUCCGAGCCAAAGCUGGGGUGUUGCUCUCGGCAUGAUACAUAUUCAGAUCAUUGUUAAUAAACUUUGCACACUGAAUGAAUUUGAUCAUCUGCCAGCCAAAAUAAACAUAAGGUCCAAUCCAAAUACAGGGUACACUAAAUGAUAAAUUGGUCAAUAUACCUCAAUGGAUACAUAAAGAGAAAUGGGGAUGAUCGUUGAGUAUAGAGUUAUUAGAGUAAACAUAGUUAAAAUGGUCACCUGCAAAAGUACAAACCUAUGAUAUAAGGCCACUUAGAGAAUAUUCUCUACAAUAAAUUAACUAAAAUAAUAUAUACCACAAAUCUGUUCUUGGGAUUAAACUGGUCCUCGACACGCCCACGCAAUCCAAGAUAGAAGUAUUUCUCAUUAAUAAACACGCCACUGUUCACAAAAGCCAAGUAUGAUGAGUCCAUUGGUAGAGUUUUAGGUUUCUAAAGAACGUGCAAGCUAAGCAGUCAUAGUUACCAAAAUCUAUAUGCUGAACAGAGCACUUCCAUUUCUGACCAUCUAGAAAGUGCCCUAUUAUGUACCUCCCACAUAAAACCACUAAGAAAAAAGAUAAGGCUAUUAAGACCUAGUCAUGUGCUCAUCUAUACUGCUCCUAUGCCACAAUAAAAAAAUAACUUCCCCAAACAAGCUCCUGACAACUCAUGUCAUAAUGUUUAAAGUUUAUCUCUCUAUUAACAGUUGUUUUUUCAUGAUCAAUUAAAUUGUGAAAAAUGAUUGUGCAAGCAUAAGCCUCCACAACAUCAACCUAACCGAUAUAACUCAUGUUCAGAGAAUAUACAUGUAAACAAUAAUACAAGAUAGAUAAGUCAAAUAAAUGAAGUGGGCCAAAUAAAACACUGACCUUCCAAUAGCACCAAUGACACACAUCGUAAAGAGGGUUGCAAAUAGAGCAAGAAUAAGCUUGUCUAGUUUCUUCUCCAAUGUACUUCUUUUAGAGGGAACAUUCAUAGAAUUCAUCAUAACCUGCAAUAGUGUCCCACUGCAGUAAAUCUCAAAACUAGAAGCACAUCUAACCUACAAGUUGAAUAUAUAGGGACACAAAAUUGCACAUACUUUCGUCUCAUGGCCCGUGAAUAUAACAGCCGCGACAAUGUACUCUGUAUUACGAAGGCUGCAUCCCUGUGGCAAAGUGGUAAUAAGAGGUUGCAUGUGUGCCACAUAAAGAGAGAGAAUUAAGUGUCAUGCAAGACACCGUUCAGUCUGGUGAAAGUAAACAUUUCUUUUGCACUUUACAAACAUUGCUUCAACCCUUCACCACUUAUCCUACAUAUGGGACUAGAGAAGAAAUGGAAGUUGUUUAUAUGAAUGUUAAACAUUUCCAAAUUGUUUAUAUCAUAGCUAUCCUUGUUUGCAAACCAAUAAGAACAAUAUUAUUAUAGAGGUGUUUUAUGAUGAAAAUUUCUGCUGGUGACAUUUGGGUGUCGUCAAUAUUGGUAUUUGGAGGAGAUGUUGGUGAUCAAAGUUAAAGGCCGAGUAAAGGCAUCACGCUAUGAUGUUAUUUUUUACCUGAGGGAUUUUCUUAACAAACUCAUGCUAAAUCUAGAACAUGCAAACAACUUUGCAGGUGGACAAUCUUGUAAAGAAAUUUCAAGGGCAUGUUUGUGUGAGGGGUAUUACUUUGGUACGUGUUGGUAACUACAUACCUAAUUGUUACAAGAAAAAUCUCAUCCAAACAAGCCCUAAGGACAUUAUGGACCUUGCUACUGCAAAGUUGGUAAGUCGAAAAUACGACAGGAUGUCUGAUUGAUAUGUAGGACCUGGACCCACAUGUCAUUCUCACAGCGAGUCGCACUAUUUCAAAUGUCAACUUUGUGGUGGCAUGGUUUCAAUUUUCCCAAUAAGAAACUAGAUACAAAUAGCAUAGAUGAACAGCACUUACCCUUAGUAGUAUUUGAUUUGGUGAAAUUGGUAUAGUUUGCUUGUCCACAAUAAGGUUCCCGGUAAAUGUAUAAAGUGAAUUGUUUGGCUGUUCGCAUUGUAUUUCACCUGUAAGCCAUGAAACAUACAGAUAAUGUGAAGUUAAGAAAAUGUAGAAUAGUUAAGUGAAGUUCAGAAAAGGAGCAAUGCUUCCUACACCAACUACCGAAAAAUGUCUGCAACAUGGAACAAGAAUAGAUAAAAACCUUUGAAUUCAGAAGCCUUUUCAGGAAUUACGCAGUCCCAGGUUUUCUCCAAAGCCUUCCUUAUUUUCAGGUUAGUUUCCCCAUCAAGAUUUGCUGUCUAAGGUAAAUAGAAGUAUGAUACACUUCAAUUAAAACAGAGUUUCUCUAAAUCAUUCAAUAAUUUCAAUUUGGACAAAAGAUGGAGAAGGUAAGAAUGAAUAUAUUGACCUCUAUGUAGCAGACACCAUCAGGGUUCGUACUUGAUAGGAAGAGCAAGUCAGAAGGAAAGUAAGUGUCUUGCUUGAUCUGCUCUAAAGAAGUGCCAUCACUAUUAGUCUUUUUGGAUAUGUGUAUCGAGCUGAAGAUUAAAUUUGCACAGCACAAAAGAUCAAGUGCAUUAAUUUGUGGAAGCAACAGAUCAAUUGAAUUGAUCAUCAAAUUGCUAUCAGGAAAGAUGAAGACAUUACCCUCACAAUAUCUCCAACCUGCAGUCUUUUCCAAGGGGCACUUUCCCAUUUUUGACCUUGCAAUACAUCGACGUGCGCAUUAUUAAUUGACAUGUCAUUCUGGAAACGUUUCUGUAUAAUGGGAGGCAAACAAAAAGGGAAGAAUAUCAGAUAACAUUAAGAAUAGCAAUAAAAUAGUGGAGCAACAGAGCAUGAGAGCAAUACUAACCCAGUCCUCAAAAGCUUCCUUGAUGAGUGAAACCAAAAGCACUAAACUAAGUGGAACCACAUUGGUGACAGGGUGGACUGGACUGCGAAGAUACAAGCAUGUAUGAACUAAGAUUUCUAGAAGUAAAGGUGAAGGAAAGCAAAGGAUGACUGAAUCAACUGAUGGACUUGAUAUGCUAAGAAGUGUCUAGCUGUAACAUGAGAAUUCCAUAGGGUGCAUGCAUGAGAGAGAGAGAGAGACCUAAUUGGUGUAGUCGACAAGAUUGAAAUCAUAAGAAAGUAAAGAUUUGCCACCCGUCUGAACUGUCAAAGCAAAAAAAAAAACAAAUGAAUUACAAAAGGUUCCUAUGGUCAAAUUGCGAUAAUACAGAAAGGGAACAUCUAAAUCGGUGUUACAGCUACCAUUGCAAAGUUUCUUUAUUCGAUAUGGAAAAAUGCAUUACAUGUUUAAUGUAUGAAGCCAUUGAAAUACUUUAAUGUACCUUACGUAAAAAACAGUGGAUAAUGAAAUUGCCAGAAUUAUGGUAUCGCAUAAAAUGAAGGUUACAUUGAGCGAAAAGCAUGAUCAGGGCUUUACCAAAUAACAAAAUCAUACUUCUCCUUUUCUCAAUAUAUGGCAUUUUAGGUUUCAUUGAAGACAAGUCUUUGAAAAGGAUUUACUUUGUGUUGUUUUUAAGGCAUGAAAUUUAUAUCACUAGAUUCAUCCUCAAAAGUACUUAAUGUGGAUUCAUAUCAUAUAAAUCACAUAUUAAUGAAGUAAUUCUUGGUCAAAGUCUUGUAUUAACGAAACCUAAUAUGUCCUGUAUUGACAAAAUGAGGGAGUAUAUUAUCUAACAGUGCAUGUAUACAGGCACGAUACUGGUAGCGCGUAUUACAAGCAAGGUAUCUUAAAAACAUUGCAACACAGUGCCAGACCAGGUAAGCAACUAAGCAUCUCAUGUAUCCACUAUUUUAAGGGAAGUUGAUCCAGAGUGAGGAAAUAAACAUUUUUAAGGAGAUAUAUCAAUUUGCAAUGUGAAAAUGAUACGGAGUAGUAUAAUCAUUUCACUGUGAUAACAAAUACUCCCUCCGUUCUAAAUACUUGUCGCUGUUUUAGUGCAAACUAAAACAGCGACAAGUAUUUAGGAACAGAGGGAGUAACUUCCAUUUACCGUUAGACAUGAUACAAAAUAAUAUGUUGAAAAAAAAUCUAGCCAAAAACUAAAAAACAAACAGAAAAUCUGCAUUAAACGAUGACAAACCCAGCAGGUAUGUUGAUUAACAAAAUAUGUAUGAACAAAAAACAACGCAUCAAUACCUGUUCAAACAAUCCUUUAGGUAGAAAUGUCAGCACACUGUACUUUGUAGUCGACACAGAAUUUCCCUGGAAAUGUAGAAUGAGAAUGUUAAAGAACUAAUUCUAGCAGAAAAACAAAGUAGCGCUCUGCAUUAGAAUCGCGAUGGUCUGAUACCCAACAUGAGGGAGAUUCUGAAACUAAACAGAAGAGCUAAUUGCAACUAGAAGCAUGAAAAAAGUAUAGCUUGAUCUUUUUACAACAUCAAGUCUGAAUACAUUCAAGCAUUUACACUAACUUGGAACAAAAUGUGGGUGUCAAAGAAAAUGCAUGAAUACACCUACUUACAAUAAAGCACCAAUUUUGCAGUGAUUGGACAAACUAUGGUUAAAAUACUUAAUAAUAGAGUUCUACGUAUUUGGAGGCAUAAAACGCAUUGCAGUUGGAGCAGUGGCAUUAUCAUGUUAGUCAGUCUAACAUGGCAGUGAAUGACGUGAAUUUUUUGCUAGUUUAGACCUCUGGCCAGCGCAAUUGACAAAAAUGCCCCCCUCUCAAAACUAAUGCCAAAAAUGGUCUGGCAGAAGGCCCGAAAGGCGCCACAUUUCAUUUUUCGCCAUCUGAGCUGCGCAUGCAAACAUUCCGACAACCUGAAAGGCGGAAAGGCCGUUCCGCCUACUGCAUUUGAUGAAUGCACCUGACAAGGGCGGAAGGUGAACUGGGCCCUGCAGAUGGAAGCAAUUUCCACAUUUGUUACAGACCUGGAAUCUUUUUUUUUGUUGGAGUCGACGGACCAUGUAUGUGCGGAUGCAUAGGAAUCGGCAAGCAGCCUAGCUGCUAGUUCACGGGCACGUUUUACAUUUUCUUUCCUCAGGUUUGGCUAGUGCUACCACGUUGAUACUAAUCAACGCUUCUUGUGAAUGGGCUUAGUUGCUUCUACUAGUCGUGCGAGCGUUAAUCUUUUCUCUGUGCGCCUGCAUGUGCGGGCGUGGGAAUCGGGUCAGGUCCCUGCAGACAGCACGCCUGGCUGCACUGGGCCUGCUUCAGCUUCCGCCCCUGAAAAUUCACUUUCGUCCAUUUCAACUGGAAACAAGUAGGCUCCACCUGUCCUGUUGGCGGAAAGUUCAUUCCUCCUACCCAGUGGCCACUGGGUCAGUUGCUGGGCUUUCCACCACGUCAUUUUUCAAAUUAUAUUUCAGAUGGAGCUAUUUUUGCCAAUUCCGUUUGACAAGGGGCUACAAGAGCAAAGAAAUUGAAUGACAUAGCAAGCAAUCAAUUUCCCCUUAUAGGUAAAUAAUAAACAGCUUUGCUUCAGCUUACUGUCAUCAGCUGGUGGCUGACUGCCCUGACCAAACACAAGUUCAGUAAUCUACACAGCAAGCGGCACACAGGUGCAGCUAAGCACAUGGAUGAACAGAAUAUUCCAGCCAUUGAGGCUCAGCUCUCGAAGCUUAAUGCCAGGUGGCAUCUACAUUGUAUUGCAGCCCGUAGCACCCUGAUUGACUAGUAACCCAACAAUGAGACAAGCUCUAAUCCACCCAAUGACCUCACAGUUGGCAAGAAAUGCAGCCCUUAGUGACACGCACCACCCUACAUAACUUUCUCGUGGACUAAUCAGUAUGAAUCAUAUAAACCCUCUGCAAGCUGCAGUGAAAUAAAACUACUACUACUGAACUAGCUAUUGUCCCAGAUGGCCAUCUCCAACCCAACCGCCCAAGCAUGAAACAAGGGGCCAGUUACGAGAUCUAGGCCUACAGACCCCUAGACCUUGAGACAACCGACCUGUUGAUCAUCCGAAUUAGAGGAGGAGGUGCACACCCGUACCUUGUACCCGACCGGCGCGUUGGCUUCGCGGUCGUUGCAGUAGAUGGUGCGCACGGUGGGUGCCUGCGGCUGCGGCUGCCGUCGGAGGCUGCCGCCCCCGCCGCCGAGACGCGCCGUCCUGGACGCCUCAGCGCGGCCGGCCUGAGAGGUCCCCCCCCGCGGCGACUGCUCGCCGCCCAGCCGCGCGGUGGCAACCCGCAUCAUCUCCUUUAUGCGCGAGCUCAUCCUGCCCCCCUCAGCGCCAAACCCAGCGCUGGAGGAGCCGGCGGGAGAUCUGGGGAAACCUCACGGUGGAUCGGAGGGGAGACCUAGUCGGAUUUGCGCGGCUUUCUGGUGGAUUUCAGUGCCUCGCUGAGGAGGGGAUUCGAUUUGGGUCACGCGUUCCCGUAUGUGCGUAUUUUUUCCGUGUAAUUUUUUUGUUUUGCCUUUUUCUUUUCCUUUGGCUCCGGGAGAAGAGAAGACAGGAGGGGAAGGAAAAGCGAAGGUCGCGACUUCGCGAGGAAGAAAAUGAAGGGAUUACUGCAGAUCACACCCUUGAUUAUUUUCGAAUAUGGAAAGCUCCAGUAACUGAAGUUUGAAAUUCCAGCCGCGUUUGUCUUUUCCUUCUUCGAGCAAACAACCGUGUUCUUGACUUGUUCUAUGUUUUUGCUGUCCGGAGGACUACCCGAUUUGCAAGUAAAUAAUGGCAUUAAUUUCAUAUAAGCACUUUAGGACACCACACUUGACAUGGUUUUCUACUGACGACGACUAUAUGGUGGCUUUGAUGUUCCAUGAAUAGAUCUUUUUAGCGGUGUUUCAAGUUCAGGUGUUAUAACAAAGCAUUACUCUUGACCUAUCUUCCCUUGCGACCAUGCUUUUUGAAUCGCCAAGUCGAGUCGAAUCGCCCCCCAACAGACUUGGAGGUUAGUAUGAUUAGUCAGAAACUAGUCUCGACUAAUCAACCCAAGUCGAGCCUAGUGAUCAGUGAGGUUUAGGGAGCUCUAGCAGGGAGCAUUAGAGGAAAGGAGUGAAUUGCAGUAGAGGGGAAGCACGAGGGAACAGUUUUUGUGGUGCUGGAGCUUGAAGAAGAGGUUCAUGGCGGCUAGGAUCUAGGAGUCGAUAAACUUAGAACGCCCGUGUUGAGGCAAACGCGUUGAGGAAGACGACUUCAAAGGUGGUUGGCUCAUUAUCAGGAUAGGUGCGUGCCUGGCAGCCCAUAAAGGCCUAUUAGAAAACCCUAACUCCCCCCUCCCCCCCCCCCCCACACACACAUUGCCUUCUUCUACACCACACACGCACCAAUGGCGGCCAUCUUCUUCCCCUUCCCUGCUGCUCCCCAUGCCUUCUCUCCCUCCCCGAAAAGAAAUAUCUUCCGAAAAUUCUUCUCUUCGAGUCAAGUUGAGGGGCUCGCGGCGUUCCUAGUCACGGCGGCUAGUCGGAGAAGUCGCGGUUCUAGCUGACGAGUCGCGCGACUUGCUCUGCUAGUCGAGUCGCGGCUGCAAGCCGCCAUCAUUGUGCUGGCUCGGCGACUAGUUGGCGAUUCAAAAACCAUGCUUGCGUCUUAUAAUUUUGUUUCCUCUUAGAUUUUUUUCAAUUAUGUAUGGAACUCUUUUAAGCUUGGCUAACAUAUUGGGUCAAUUUGUCUCCCAUUGAAAAAAAAACAAUUUCCUAUAAAAAAUAAAGUAUCCACAAAACAAUAUGCAUAGCGCAGUUGUUUUCAAAGUUGUGGAUGAAACUUUGUGUUGUACAGGCAACCACUUAAUAACUUGUUCGGUUGUAGAAUUCCCCGCAUGUAUUGAAGAGGAUUAAGAGAGAUCUAAGGAAAAUUGAUCUGCAAUUCGAUCAUUCCCUCUUAAUCCCCAUCGGAGUGGAAUCAACCGAACGGGGCUAAUGUGGACCAUAUCACCUUGAGGACUCCAUUCUUCUUUUAUGGCAACGUUGCAUGGACCUUGAUAUGAACGCACGUGCCUGCAAUCUCUAUUAUUUUUUCGUAAAUAGCAACUGUCCUUUCUGUAUCUUGUAAUAUGUUUUCUACAAUUUUAUUUGGGAUAUUUCGUCAAGAACCCAAAUCGAUUACAUUUUCCACUUUGGCGAAUGAGUCAAGAUUCUCCAUGUGUUCCAGCGAGGCAACUGCGAGCUACACAUGUAUGGUGAAACAAGCCUCGCAACUUCGUAAGUAACUCCAAAACUACAUCAGCACGUCUCUUGAACUUUGGAAACACACAGACGUGUUCCACGACCGUGAGGCGACGGAGUUAACGGGGCAGCGUUGCCGGAAAGACAAGAGUACCGUAACAAGGCCCAGACUGGGCUGCAUCGGCGUUCUGCCUCUAUUACAAGCGAGAGAUGUUGAACCGGCCAAGGUUAGGCAAGGCAGUCAGCGGGAGGAUUUUUUUUUUUUUGUUGUUGGUUUUGAAGAGGCGCGGGAGGAGAAGAACUUGCUUGACCAGCCCACAAGAUCGUGAACCGGUAUGACAUUGACAUUUUAUUUAGGGCCAGUAACGUGUAAUUAGAAGUACUAGCUUACAUCUCUUCCUUUUUGAACCGUCAGAUCUGCAACCAUAUCAUCUCUCCCCUUUGUCCUCUUCGCUAUGCCGAUUUUAGUGAAACGCCGCUGCCAAAUCUUCACAGGAUUGUGAACCGGCAGCAGCUUCGACCCUUCAAUAUUAUUAUUACAGCUAAAUAAAAGACUGAAAUUAUAGGUGAGGUCCUUUGUUCUAAUCGCCCAAGCGAGCAGAAGCCAAGAGAUUACGUGCAAGCAUAGCAUGGCCAUGUUCGCCAACUCAUGACAUAGUGGCACAGGGACUAACCACCUGGAUUACAUGGCUAGCUUCCAUAUAUGUGCAACAAAAUAUUGGUACCAGGCAGCCAUCUGUGCCACCAACCAUAAACUCCCUGAUCCCAAAAAAUACAAAAUACCAAGAGUUUCCACCCACAUCAGUACAAGUGCACAACAGUUUAAGAGACAAGCCAAGGAUCAUUCCCAGUUUGUGGGAAUAAAUAAGAGUCCGCAGCAAACAGAAAACUCAAAAUCGCUGGCAAAGUUAGGAUGUGGAAAAAAGAAAGGCUUAAAAUGAUCUAGCCAUGGCGUCAGAAUCUAUUAUCAAUGUUUCUCUCUCAAGGAUUUCCCUUCUAUAUAAAGUAUAAUAUUACAAAGGGGCUGCUUAAAUAUCAUGGACUCCUGGAAUGUAAAGAGGGUAAUAAUCAACACUACAUGAGCCUCCUUUUUCCUGAGGCUGCUUCCUAAGACUGACUGACUGCUUCCCCGAGGAUCCACAUACACCCUCCCCUCUCCUCAAGUUCCACCUCCCACCAUGGAAGUUAAACCCCCACCAUGGAUCCGAUGCUAACCAACUGUACGCGACCUGGAGAAAGUCAGUCAGCUUGGUGGUUCAAUCAAGACAGAGCAUCACGAUAUUGCCCAAAUGGUAUAAUUGGCAGGAUCAAUAAGUAGUUUAUGCUCGCAGCAAGAUCCAAAAGAACCAAUCUACCAUGACUAAUGUAUGACAAGAAUGAUGUCUUAUGUCUACUUUCAGAUACACUAUGGUCCAGGUGAAACAAUAUUUUAAAGUUUAGUAAUUACUGGCAGUAGUAGACAGACCACAGAAGUGUAAAGAUAUUUGCACACAUGACCUUUUAAUCCAAGGCUAACCCAACCUUGUAAGCUACGUGCUGUUUGUGCUAACGCUGCUGCUUGAAUGCAAUUAGACAGUGGUGAUGUCCUUGUUAGUCUGUUACAUACCUAAGGCAUCACCUCCUGAUUCUAGGUUUGCACCGGAACUCUGCUAAGAGCGCUAUGUGAUCUGAUGACCAUUCAGGUGAAGGAAGAGCAGUGUCUUUUCUUAAGCUCUCCUCAUCCAGAAGUUCCAACAAAGACUCCACGGUCAACGAAUCCGCUGAAACAAUAAAGGAAACAUGAUCAACUGACCAUAAUCAAACAUAUCACAAUACUACAAGCUGAUUCUGAAGCAAUUCCCAGAAGUCUAAAUACAGCAUACAGGUCAGGUACCUACCUGUGUAAAAUAUAUAAUCAACAGUUCCAGUGAAAUCCCUUGUGCAAUUUGUGAAAAGUGGUUCAUUUGUUCCUGGAUCCAUCCUCCUUCGCUGGUGCUCUAAAUCAUAGCCAACACCUACCAUUCUUGCAAAUGAAGAAUAUGCACUGACCUGCAAACAAGUAAACAUUGGUCAGAAUUUUAAAGGAAGAACAAGAUAGACAAGCUUGAUAGUUUUACUGUACCAGAGGAAGCUGGUGCGUCAACUUGCUCACGGGGCGUAAAAUUGAAAGUGGGUCUAUGGCCAGAUCUGGAUGCAAUUGAUCAACUUUGCCCACCGCAAGAAGCCCAUGUGGAGUACUGAAAGACAAAAGGAAGCACUUAGAGAUUUAAAGUUAGAAAAAACAAGUAAACCUGAAAAAUAUUGCUCCAAUAGAAUCUUGACAUGCACCUCCCCGGGAUUGAAUUGAAAUCCCCACAGACCAACAUUGGAAUGUCUGCACUGUUGGCUAUUUUCUCCAAUCCUUUUAGUAGUGUUUGAACCUGCAAAAAACAUACUUACUUUCGAUCUGAAUUUUUCAGAUGUUGCAGAAUGCUAGCCUACAGAGAAUGUGACAAUACUGACCUCCCAUAGUUUCACAUCUUUGAGGUCUUGGUGGACAUUUACAUGUGUAUUGGCCUGAAAUUUGAGAUCAUUUAAAAGAAUGAGACCUCCAUGACUCCAAGUAGCAUAAGCCUAGGCCGUAUGAACAAUGGGAAAUCUGUAGUAAAGUUGGCCUCAAAAUCUAGAGUCUAGAGAGCCAAGUCCCAAUCAUCCGCCAUUAACAUAUAGAUGUUUCCGUGCAUCUUAUGCUACUAAGGUCAUCCUACACAGAUAUAUGUUUCACUUCAUUCCUAAAUGUUGUGAGCAAAGAAGGAAAAGAAUCCAUAUGUUGUUCUGCACUAUGCUGCUAGCAGUUCAAUAGCUAAACAUACGGGAAAGUCCACUUUUGGCCCCUUAACUAUUGCCUCAGAUCAAAAUCAUCUAAUUUGCACCCUCAACUAUCAAAAGCAUCCAAGUUACAUCUGAAGGCAAUAUUUGUUAGAGGCUUUGUGUGAUGUGGCAUCCAUGUCAACGUGUUUUGCCACAUCAAUCGCUGCUGGGCAGUAGGGCCCACAUAUCAUGGCUGCCGUGCCCCUUCUUUCUUUAUAAUUCUUCCUCCUUAGCCAUGCCAUGGCCUCCUCUGUAGGCUAUAGCUUCCACUGCUGCUGCUACAGAUAACCCAUGUUUGACGUUGCAUAACAUCUUCUGAUUUAGAGAGGGGUAUCCUGACAGACAUGUACCAGUCUCCGCAAACCGCUGCACGGCUGCAUCCUGAGGGGAAUGGACAAAGAGAGGAUUAGAGAGGAAGGCUGAGGAGGGAGGCGUUUAGGGCGACUCCAACACGGCCACCCAAAUCGGACACAAAAAGUGUGUCCGUUUGGGUCUGCUGGUGCCCCUAACACGGUCACCCAUUUGGUCCGUUUUAUUAUUUAGUAUUGGCCACGGAUAGGCGGGCCAGGGCAAGGACAAGGGAGGACAAGCGCAGUGUCCACCCGCUGUCCGCCCAGACACAAACCCGGUCAGAUUUGGGUCGGCAAUGGGUUGAGCUGGACAGAAAAGCAGACAGCCGCCACACCGGACGAAAUGGGUCGCCGCGUUGGAGUCACCCUUAAUGCUAAGCUGGGAAAGAGGAAGGGAACAGAAAUAAGAGGAUGAGGACAAGGGAGGGAGAAAAGGGUGCUUCCAAAAAAUCAAUCCCAGGCAUGUGGGGCCUACUGCCCAGUGGAGAAUGAGAUGUCAAAGUUGCUGAUUUGGCGGCUACAUACAGAAUAUCACUCAUGAAACCAGCUUCUGGUCCUAUCGAACGGUUUCAUGAGUUGAUGGUUCAAUUUAGACCAGGCAAAAGUUGAGGGAUCAUAAUUAGGCUUUUCCAAACAUAAAUGAAUGUCAUGCUGUAAAAGUAGUGUUCGUCAUCCAGUAAACUGGUUCGAAUAUCCAACAAGCGCACAACUACUUUAUACACAUCUAAAGAAAGAACAGCUAUUUACAUACCACACAAAGGAGCUGCCUUUUACCAGGAGUUUCAGUUCCUUGGUUGCCAAAUUUUGCUUCUAAAACCGCAAUCAGCGCAAUAUUAUCCUUCAAAGCAAAUAGAACGUGUGAUAAAUAACAUCACUUUUUUUUGCGAAAAGUGAUAAAUAACAUCACUGUAGCAUACAUUAUUUCUUUUGAAGUUAAUCUUACUUUAAUCAGUCGACUUAAAGCCACUCUUUUCUGGGAAGCUGGAAUAAUAGCUUCUGUUAAAGACUGUGCAGCCUUAUUGAACUCAACCUACACAAGCAAGUACAAGUAUUAGAUAGCUGCAAAUAUCAAGCUGCUGCAAACCUGCAGUACAGGUACCUCGUAUUUUUUGACAUGUGAAAAUCUAUCUCUACGGAAGAAAGUAGCACAGCCAUCAAUGGCAUUAGGAACUCCAGCAUACACCUGUGACAACAGUAAAGUAAAAUCAAACAAGAGACAAAAGGUAUUAAACCAAAAUAUGAAGGAAAAAAUCAACCCAAAGAUACCUCUGUUGUCCGUUUCUUGUAAAGCGCCUGAUACCCAUGUUUAUCAAACUCAGGAGCAAAAAAAUCCUCAAAGUGGUUCAAUUGUACCUGAAAACAGUAGGACUUGGCUUAAUUCCCUCCUGUUACAAUCUUCGGUCACUCUUCGUUUUUAUUGUAAGCCGCUUCAGUAAACUCUUCAUAAUAUAUAUGCAGACAAUAUUCGUGAAAGUUUAAACAGCAAGCAAACUAUCAUAAAUUCAUAAUCCAACAUCACUGAAAAGUGAAAACAAUCAAACAAAGUGAUGGCACAAAUAUGGAAACGAACAGCCCAGCAGUAUAUGAAAGAUUGUAGGUUGAUGAACAGGGUUCCGGCAUUAAAGUUUACCGAGUCGCAAAAAUUAUAUGAUCAACCAAAUGAGACAUGCUCGGUUCCUAAAACAAAUAUAUGAGAUGAAAAGCUGAAAAUAGGUCACCAAAAUAAAUAAAUUCAGAAGAUAGCAAACAUAUGAUACCUCCUGAAGACAUAUAAUAUCAGCAUGAUAACCAAUAAUUUCGCGCAUCAAAUUUUGUCUUCUGUAAGUCCAUGAAAGUGCCCACGUUGGGCAGUAGCUAUAUGCAUCAGAUGUAGCAUAUGCAUCAGCAAGAAUAUUAUAGGACAGCACCGUGAAUGUCCCAAAAGAAGAAGUCUGGCUGUCUAUAUCUGAGUGACCCAAAACAUCUCCAUUCACUUGGAUAAGGCGGCGUGGAGUAGGAGUUGG
rnacentral:lncRNA from 1 species